rnacentral:misc_RNA from 1 species
GCAUCGAUGAAGAACGCAGCGAAGUGCGAUAAGCAAUGCGAAUUGCAGAACCGUGAGUCAUCAGAUUUUUGAACGCAUCUGGCGCCGGCUGGGUCUCCAGUCGGCAUGCUUGUUUCAGUGUCUUGUUUUCUCCUCACCCAAAUCUUAAUGCGAGAGAUGCCCUUCUCUUGCCAAGCAAGAAAGCACUCUGCGCUCUGCGAGCGGCUUCGACUCGAUCGAGGGCCGCACUCAAUGCAGCAGUCACAUUGCUCACAAUGUGAACUCAUUGAGAGCAGAGGCAGUGCAGCAGCCGCUGCCAGUGCUUAGUCACGCAAACUUUCUUUGCAUCUGAAAUCAAGCAGGACCACCCGCUGAACUUAAGCAUAUCAAUAAGCGGAGGAC